rnacentral:rRNA from 1 species
UUGAACGCUGGCGGCAGGCCUAGCACAUGCAAGUCGAACGGUAACAGGAAGAAGCUUGCUUCUUUGCUGACGAGUGGCGGACGGGUGAGUAAUGUCUGGGAAACUGCCUGAUGGAGGGGGAUAACUACUGGAAACGGUAGCUAAUACCGCAUAAUGUCGCAAGACCAAAGAGGGGGACCUUCGGGCCUCUUGCCAUCGGAUGUGCCCAGAUGGGAUUAGCUAGUAGGUGGGGUAACGGCUCACCUAGGCGACGAUCCCUAGCUGGUCUGAGAGGAUGACCAGCCACACUGGAACUGAGACACGGUCCAGACUCCUACGGGAGGCAGCAGUGGGGAAUAUUGCACAAUGGGCGCAAGCCUGAUGCAGCUAUGCCGCGUGUAUGAAGAAGGCCUUCGGGUUGUAAAGUACUUUCAGCGGGGAGGAAGGGAGUAAAGUUAAUACCUUUGCUCAUUGACGUUACCCGCAGAAGAAGCACCGGCUAACUCCGUG